CCCUUAGAUGUUCUGGGCCGCACGCGCGCUACACUGUUCGACGCAGCGAGUCUUAACCUUGACCGAAAGGUUUGGGUAAUCUUCAGCAAAGUCGAACGUGAUGGGGAUCGAUCAUUGCAAUUAUUGAUCUCUAACGAGGAAUCCCUAGUAUGCGUGAAUCAUCAAUCCAUGCAGAUUAUGUCCCUGCCCUUUGUACACACCGCCCGUCGCUCCUACUGAUUGGGUGAUCCGGUGAGCUGUUCGGCCAUAGCAAUGUUUCUUGAGCAGGGCAAUGAAUGUUUCGCAAACCUUGCCACUUAGAGGAAGGAGAAGUCGUAACA
rnacentral:rRNA from 1 species